CUCAAAAGGCGAUGCUUCCUGAGAACAGCUGGAUCUUGAGUCUAUUUCAGACAACAUCCUCAAGCCCUGGGACCCUGGGAGCAUCUCCUUACUUUUUCUAAUAUUUGUGAGCCAUUUCCCCACCCCCUGCUUCUUUCUGCAUGCAUUUGCAUCAUCCAUCUCUGACUUCUUUCUAGGAGGUAAGAGGCCUGCUGUUCACAGUAGAAUUUCCCUGUGAUUGGCCACCAUCAGCGCCCACACGCCUGCAAGGUCCCGAGGAAGAGCCCAUGUGGACACCUCAGCCCUUACACUGGACCACUUUUGGUGGUCUCACCAGCCAGCCAUCAUCAGGGAGGAGUCCAUUCUCAGGCCAGGCCCUGCCGUCACCCCACAGCAGCCCUGCCAUGGCCCUUCUCUCCUCAAUGGCCUUCGAGGGAAAAGGAAGAAAUGUGUCUUGGCUGGAGGCCCACGUUUCGUUCCAGCACAUCCUUUUUACCAAAAGAGCCGUCCCUGGAGCUGCCAACAGUGUUUACAAGAAAACCAUCCAACAAUAGUUUGGAUCUGGGAGCGUGGCCUGACCACAGACGUGGCCUUCCCCACCCUGAGAACCAACCAUCAGGAAGCCUGGCACAUGAUACGAAAAGGCAGAGGUGCAGAAACAGACGCUGUGCAUGUCCCUGCAAGAGUGAUACAAGAUGACUGAGAAAUGUCAUCUGAGAGAAGGGGAAGAACCAGCCCUACAUUAAAAAGGUAAAGAAAUAGAAGAAAAAAAAAUCAUGAAGUCAGUGUGUAAUUAUAGUUGAUGCAUAUAUUGUAUUUUAUAAUGCCACCUGACCUGCCUCUUGAGAAAUCUGUAUGCAGGUCAGAAAGCAACAGUUAGAAAUGGACGUGGAACAACAGACUGGUUCCAAUAGGAAAAGCUGUACGUCAAGGCUGUAUAUUGUCACCCUGCUUAUUUAACUUGUAUGCAGAGUACACCAGGAGAAACGCUGGGCUGGAUGAAGCACAAGCUGAAAUCAAGAUUGCCAGGAGAAAUAUCAAUAACCUCAGAU
rnacentral:lncRNA from 1 species